rnacentral:tRNA from 2 species
GGGGCUGUAGCUCAGCUGGGAGAGCACUUGACUGGCAGUCAAGGGGUCAGGGGUUCAAGUCCCCUCAGCUCCACCA